rnacentral:rRNA from 1 species
AUUGAACGCUGGCGGCAGGCCUAACACAUGCAAGUCGAGCGGAGCGGCGGACGGGGGAGUAAUGCCUAGGAAUCUGCCUGGUAGUGGGGGAUAACGUCCGGAAACGGGCGCUAAUACCGCAUACUAUCAGAUGAGCCUAGGUCGGAUUAGCUAGUUGGUGGGGUAAAGGCCUACAAAGGCGACGAUCCGUAACUGGUCUGAGAGGAUGAUCAGUCACAUUGGAACUGAACCACGGUCCAGCCUCCUACGGGAGCCAGCAGUGGGAAAUUGUGGACAAGGGGCGAAACCCUGUUCCAGCCAUCCCGCGUGAUGUAGAAGGCCUUCGGAUUGUAAAGCACUUUAAGUUGGGAGGCGUUACCAACAGAAUAAGCACCGGCUAACUACGUGCCAGCAGCCGCGGUAAUAC